UGCGUAGAUGGCGUGUUAAGUCAGUGGUGAAAGCCUGCAGCUCAACUGUAGAGGUGCCAUUGAUACUGACAUGCUUGAGUAUGGACGAGGUAGGCGGAAUUUGUGGUGUAGCGGUGAAAUGCAUAGAUACCACAAAGAACACCGAUAGCGAAGGCAGCUUACUGGACCAUAACUGACACUGAGGCACGAAAGCGUGGGGAGCGAACAGGAUUAGAUACCCUGGUAGUCC
rnacentral:rRNA from 1 species